GACAGAGGGUGCAAACGUUGCUCGGAAUUACUGGGCGUAAAGCGCGUGUAGGCGGUGCCGCACGUCGGGCGUGAAAUCCCACGGCUCAACCGUGGAAGUGCACUCGAAACUGCAUAGCUAGAGUCCUGGAGAGGAAGGUGGAAUGCUUGGUGUAGAGGUGAAAUUCGUAGAUAUCAAGCGGAACACCGGUGGCGAAGGCGGCCUUCUGGACAGUGACUGACGCUGAGACGCGAAAGCGUGGGGAGCAAACAGGG
rnacentral:rRNA from 1 species